GCUGCACAUCGUUAGAGCAUGGGGCUGAGGCCGCUGGCUGGCCGAUGAACUCACAGGGCAGGCUACAGGAGGGGCGAGACUUUUGCUAACCCCACAAGGGGCCUCAGGCCCAAUGAGUGGAGUUUGACAGCAAUUCUUGCUACAAGU